rnacentral:rRNA from 1 species
UCCUGGCUCAGGAUGAACGCUAGCUACAGGCUUAACACAUGCAAGUCGAGGGGCAGCAUAUAGAUAGCUUGCUAUUUAUGAUGGCGACCGGCGCACGGGUGAGUAACGCGUAUCCAACCUGGCCCAUAGUAGGGAACAGCCCGGCGAAAGUCGGAUUAAUGCCCUAUGUUGUUUGAAGCGGGCAUCUAAUUCAAACCAAAGAUUUAUCGCUAUGGGAUGGGGAUGCGUCUGAUUAGGUUGUUGGUGGGGUAACGGCCCACCAAGCCAUCGAUCAGUAGGGGUUCUGAGAGGAAGGUCCCCCACACUGGUACUGAGACACGGACCAGACUCCUACGGGAGGCAGCAGUGAGGAAUAUUGGUCAAUGGGCGCGAGCCUGAACCAGCCAAGUAGCGUGCAGGAAGACGGCCCUACGGGUUGUAAACUGCUUUUAUGCGGGGAUAAAGUGUGGGACGCGUCCCUCAUUGCAGGUACCGCAUGAAUAAGGACCGGCUAAUUCCGUGCC